ACACGACUACAUUAGAUACCCGCGUAGUCCCAGCCCUAAACGAUGCGCGUUAGGUGUAUCGGUGACCACGAGUCACCGAGGUGCCGAAGGGAAACCGUGAAACGUGCCGCCUGGGAAGUACGGUCGCAAGGCUGAAACUUAAAGGAAUUGCGGGGGAGCACCACAACGGGUGGAGCCUGCGGUUUAAUUGGACUCAACGCCGGGAAGCUCACCGGAUAAGACAGCGGAAUGAUUGCCGGGCUGAAGACCCUGCAUGACCAGCUG
rnacentral:rRNA from 1 species